rnacentral:rRNA from 7 species
AAGGUCACGGCGAGACGAGCCGUUUAUCAUUACGAUAGGUGUCAAGUGGAAGUGCAGUGAUGUAUGCAGCUGAGGCAUCCUAACAGACCGAGAGAUUUGAACC